CCCCAACCGCUAGUCUCGCGAGAGUCCGAUCGCGGGCUGCCCGGGUGUAGGAGGUGGCUGAGGACCAGGCGGCGGGCUGCCUUUUUUCUCGCCUGGAGGAAGGAAGACUGGGAGGGAUCUUGGACAACCUAACUCAUGAGAUAGCUGUUUUCUGAGCAGUAAAUUGAGGAAGCCCAAGCAUGCCUCACUGACAUGCCCUCACUCAACAAGUUACCAUUUCCCAACUUUUCAAAAGAAAUACCUCUUAUCCACCCAAAUCAUCUAUGAUGCAUCACCCUGAGGUGCAAAAUCUUCAGAGGAACAAUCAACAUAUUGGUAUUGGAGAAACCUCUUAUACUCAUAAACCUUUCAUAGACCAUUGUCUUUUCCUGCCUAAUAUGAAUGUCUAGUAAGUGUGAGGCACGGCAUUAGUAAAGGGGUAGUUUGACCCUUUGGGGGAUGUUCCAGAUUCAAUAGCGUGGGACAGCUGGUGCAAUGACAAUUCUUGUUUUUGUUGUUUGACUAACUUACCUCUUUCAUAUUCUCACUAUUAUCAAAUAAUGAGUUACUCUUGAGGGAGUCAUAUCAGAGCAGCACUCUCACGCGGUAGGUGAGAAAGGGGGUCAAGGAGACCUGGCAGAUCUGUCCCCAGGGCUGUGGCCCCCAUGCUAGAGCUUUAGCCUGGCCAGUCAAAGGGCUAGAGUCUCUAAGGGCUUGCCCUGGCAAGAAGCACCUCCUGAGAAAGAAACUGGGAGGAAAUGGUGGAUGUGGCUUAACCAGUAACUUCCACUAACAAUGAAGCAGAAAGUAGCUUUUCUAAACUAUCAAUAAUAAAAUGUACCAACUAUGUUGAGGAAAAAUCUCGAUUAUCUUUUUCCCAUAGAAAAUGGUAUAAAAAGGCAUUGCCAUUUGAAGAGAUGAUUAAAAGUAUUGAGCCAGAAAGUGUAGAAAAAUUGUUAUAGAGAUAUUAAUUAAUAUUGUUAUUGAUAUUGUUAUACUUUUCUAGGUUAUAUGAUGUUUGUGGAAUUUAUCAUCCUUUAAAAUGCAUAAUUUGUCAUGAUUUUAUUCUCAUGUUACAUAAAUAUUUACUUUUCCACCUA